rnacentral:ncRNA from 2 species
AAUCUGUUUCAGGGCGAGGUGAAAUUCCUCACCGGCGGUAUAGUCCGCGAGCGAAGAAGAUAAGAUUUUUUCGCUGAUCAGGUGAAAUUCCUGAACCGACGGUAUAGUCCGGAUGGGAGAAACACAAA